AAGAGACAGCAGCCGCCGCGGGAAAACGGAGGGUGCAAGCGUUAAUCGGAAUUACUGGGCGUAAAGCGCACGCAGGCGGUCUGUCAAGUCAGAUGUGAAAUCCCCGGGCUUAACCUGGGAACUGCAUUUGAAACUGGCAGGCUAGAGUCUUGUAGAGGGGGGUAGAAUUCCAGGUGUAGCGGUGAAAUGCGUAGAGAUCUGGAGGAAUACCGGUGGCGAAGGCGGCCCCCUGGACAAAGACUGACGCUCAGGUGCGAAAGCGUGGGGAGCAAACAGGAUUAGAUACCCGCGUAGUCCCUGUCUCUUAUAC
rnacentral:rRNA from 1 species